AUUGAACGCUGGCGGCAGGCCUAACACAUGCAAGUCGAACGAGUGGCGGACGGGUGAGUAAUGUCUGGGAAACUGCCCGCUGGAGGGGGAUAACUACUGGAAACCGUAGCUAAUACCGCAUACCAUCAGAUGUGCCCCGAUGGGAUUAGCUAGUCGGUUGGGUAACGGCGCACCAAGGCGACGAUCCCUAGCUGGUCUGAGCGGAUGACCAGCCACACGGGAACUGGGAGACGGGCCAGACUCCUACGGGAGGCAGGAGUGGGGAAUAUUGCACAAUGGGCGCAAGCCUGAUGCAGCCAUGCCGCGUGUAUGAAGAAGGCCUUCGGGUUGUAAAGUACUUUCAGCGAGGAGGCGUUACUCGCAGAAGAAGCACCGGCUAACUCCGUACCAGCAGCCGCGGUAAUAC
rnacentral:rRNA from 1 species